AUUGAACGCUGGCGGCAGGCCUAACACAUGCAAGUCGAACGGUAACAGGAAGAAGCUUGCUUCUUUGCUGACGAGUGGCGGACGGGUGAGUAAUGUCUGUGAAACUGCCUGAUGGAGGGGGAUAACUACUGGAAACGGUAGCUAAUACCGCAUAAUGUCGCAAGACCAAAGAGGGGGACCUUCGGGCCUCUUGCCAUCGGAUGUGCCCAGAUGGGAUUAGCUAGUAGGUGGGGUAACGGCUCACCUAGGCGACGAUCCCUAGCUGGUCUGAGAGGAUGACCAGCCACACUGGAACUGAGACACGGUCCAGACUCCUACGGGAGGCAGCAGUGGGGAAUAUUGCACAAUGGGCGCAAGCCUGAUGCAGCUAUGCCGCGUGUAUGAAGAAGGCCUUCGGGUUGUAAAGUACUUUCAGCGGGGAGGAAGGGAGUAAAGUUAAUACCUUUGCUCAUUGACGUUACCCGCAGAAGAAGCACCGGCUAACUACGUG
rnacentral:rRNA from 1 species